GGAGUUUGGACCGUGUCUCAGUUCCAAUGUGGGGGACCUUCCUCUCAGAACCCCUACUGAUCGUCGCCUUGGUGGGCCGUUACCCCGCCAACAAGCUAAUCAGACGCAUCCCCAUCCCCUACCGCAGAGCUUUAUUCACCGUCAGAUGCCAUCUAGUGAAACUAUCAGGAGUUAAUCCGGUUUUCACCGGGCUAUGCCUGAGUAGGGGAAGGUUGGAUACGCGUUACUCACCCGUGCGCCGGUCGCCAUCAAAGGAAGCAAGCUUCCUUCAUGCUGCCCCACGACUUGCAUGUGUUAAGCCUGUAGCUAGCGUUCAUC
rnacentral:rRNA from 1 species